rnacentral:rRNA from 1 species
UACAGAGGGGGCCAGCGUUAUUCGGAAUUAUUGGGCGUAAAGAGCUCGUAGGCGGUCUGUCGCGUCGAUCGUGAAAACUUGGGGCUUAACCCUGAGCUUGCGGUCGAUACGGGCAUGACUGGAGUUCGGCAGGGGAGACUGGAAUUCCUGGUGUAGCGGUGAAAUGCGCAGAUAUCAGGAGGAACACCGGUGGCGAAGGCGGGUCUCUGGGCCGAUACUGACGCUGAGGAGCGAAAGCGUGGGGAGCAAACAGG